rnacentral:misc_RNA from 1 species
GUUUGAGUUCACACCAACCUUGAUUAGGGAUGGUGUCAUUAUUGCUACCAAAAGCUAUACUGAGUACUUUAAGAGAAGUCAUAUGUCCAAUGUUUGGGAGAAAGUUGUCAUUUAUAGAAGAUCCAUCCAAGUAUAGGUACUCCAGUGUGCUCAGAUUUCUUAAUGCGUAAAUUAUGGUGGGAGCGGUGAGAUCACUAUUUUCAUAAGAAAGUGAUUUAAGA